UACGAAGGGGGCUAGCGUUGUUCGGAAUUACUGGGCGUAAAGCGCGUGUAGGCGGGUCUUUAAGUCAGGGGUGAAAUGCCAAGGCUCAACCUUGGAACUGCCUUUGAUACUGGAUGGCUUGAGUUCGGGAGAGGGAUGCGGAAUUCCAGGUGUAGCGGUGAAAUGCGUAGAUAUCUGGAGGAACACCGGUGGCGAAGGCGGCAUCCUGGACCGGCACCGACGCUGAGGAGCGAAAGCCAGGGGAGCAAACGGG
rnacentral:rRNA from 1 species